UCUCCCCAGACUCACGGUGCCCAGAUGCAAGGAAGCUGUUACUCAGGCGCCAUCUUGCUCCGCCUCCCCGCCUAACUCUAACUUCUUUACACUGUGUAGCCGGUGGUGGGAUCCGCUUUAAAAGAUAUCAAGGAGACAACAAGAAGAUUUAAUCUUGUCUUGGAAUGGACAGAGAGAAACUACCAGCAGCACAG